GACGUAGGGGACGAGCGUUGUCCGGAUUCAUUGGGCGUAAAGCGCGCGUAGGCGGCCACGCAAGUCGGGUGUGAAAUCCCGGAGCUCAACUCCGGAACUGCACUCGAAACUGCGCGGCUGAGGUAGGUAGGGGAGAUCGGAAUUCCUGGUGUAGCGGUGGAAUGCGCAGAUAUCAGGAGGAACACCGGUGGCGAAGGCGGAUCUCUGGGCCGAUACUGACGCUGAGGAGCGAAAGCGUGGGGAGCGAACAGG
rnacentral:rRNA from 1 species